rnacentral:rRNA from 1 species
AUAGGUAGGAGCCUUUGAAACGUGAGCGCUAGCUUACGUGGAGGCGCUGGUGGGAUACUACCCUAGCUGUGUUGGCUUUCUAACCCGCACCACUUAUCGUGGGGGGAGACAGUGUCAGGCGGGCAGUUUGACUGGGGCGGUCGCCUCCUAAAAGGUAACGGAGGCGCUCAAAGGUUCCCUCAGAAUGGUUGGAAAUCAUUCAUAGAGUGUAAAGGCAUAAGGGAGCUUGACUGCGAGACCUACAAGUCGAGCAGGGUCGAAAGACGGACUUAGUGAUCCGGUGGUUCCGCAUGGAAGGGCCAUCGCUCAACGGAUAAAAGCUACCCCGGGGAUAACAGGCUUA